AUGACACUGACAGCUUUUUCUUUAUUACCUGCAGAGGAGAAGAAAGUAAAGAGCACUAAAGUGGAAGCAAAAGUUAAAAAGGAAGUGAAGGAUGGAAAAGGAGAAGCAAAGAUGGCAGAGAAGGUCAAGCAGGCAGAGACAAAACCAACAGAAACUGGGCUAAUAAAGGCCAAAACGAAAGUUAAGGAGGAAAAAGCUCUUCAGACUGUAACUAAAUCGGACAAGAAAGAUCAAUAUGCAUUCUGUCGCUAUGUGAUUGACAUGUUUGCGCAAGGGGAUUUUUAUCCAGGUGCAGGACAUAAGGAAUUGGUACCACCUCGUCUUCUUCUGGAACACAGUCCAAGAAAGAAACCAGCAGCUAUUGAAGAAGAAAAGUCUACUGUGGUACCUAGAGAAGGGAAAAGUAAGUUUGGGUUUUUUAUUUUUCCUUCAUCUUCAUGUUAGUUUUAUGCAAGGGACAGGAGUAUAUUUGCUUCUUGGAUUUGAAAAUAUUCCUAUACCUUAAAUAUGUUUCAGUUAAAGAAAAGACUCUUGUUUAAGUGCUUAUGGUUCUAUCUUCUGUAAGAUAAUAAAAC
rnacentral:lncRNA from 13 species